AUGGAUGGGGGCGUUGUUGCGGAUGGAGACAACGCCAGGGAAGAAAACCAGGGCGCAGCGGACGGGUCAGGCCUUGGCGCCCCUAUGGAUCCAGCGCUGGUGGCCAAUGGCGAGGGCGGGGUUGCGUCUGAGGAGGGGUCGGUUGAGGGUGCGGCUGAGGGUGCCGACGGGAUAGCUUCCGCAGGUGGCGGUGUCUCGACUGCAGCGGGCCUGGGUCAAGGUGCAACAGUGGCUGGGGGCUCUGUCGCCGGCGUGGCUAAAGACUCCGGCCAGGGCACUGCUAGGCCGGCCUCGGCAAGUGCUCCAGACCAGGGCACGGCCCGUUUGGCCUCGGCUACAUGGUUGUGUCCAGAUAGGAUGGAUCGAAAUUCAAGUUAUUUGCUUAGAAUUAAAUUGUUUGGCAAUCCAAAAAAAGCUCGGAAGGACAUACGAUGUUUUUAUUUUGAGAAGGUCAUCAAUUGUGACUUGACAAAUUAUAAGGAUUUGGUUGGAUCAAUUGUAAAGCAGUACCCGCCGCGUUAUAUGGAAGUUGCACAUGUGCAGUAUUAUGACGGUGAUCUUAAAACCUGUCCGGAAGUAAAAUCUGACCAAGAUUUGAUGCUUAUGUUUGAAAAACACUCGGAGACAAAGGUGCUGCAUAUGAUCAUUGCAUAUUCUGAUCCCUCUGAACCAUAUGAGCCUAUCACUGAGUGGCAUAGUGAUAGCGAACCUGACAACAAUAUAGAACAUGAGGAUGAUACUACAAACAAGAGAAAUGCAAAAGGGGGAAAAAGGGCUACAAGGAAGAUGGAGCUUACUAAAAAUGAUCAAAAUGGUCCUAAGGUUCCUUUUGACAGCCCUGCAAUGGGCACUAGAAGCAAAACAUCUUACCUAGCCAGCCCUGCAAUGAGCACAAGAAGCAAAAGAAGGCUCGGUUCGUGA
rnacentral:rRNA from 1 species